GCAAUAUCUUGUUCAGAACAGUUUCUUUUCUUUCUUUCUUUUUUUUUUUUCAGACAGUCUCACUUUCUUGCCCAGGCUGGAGUGCAGUGGUUCCAUCUCGACUCACUGCAACUUCCGCCUCCCAGGUUCAAGCCAUUCUCCUGCCUCUUGCCUCAGCCUCUGGAGUAGCUGAGAUAACAGGUGCCAAAAUUUAAAGAGGAUUCAAAGUGAAAGAAACGUGGGGAGUAAAAGUUGAAGAGGAGAA
rnacentral:lncRNA from 13 species